rnacentral:rRNA from 1 species
CAGCCGCCGCGGGAAUACGUAGGGUGCGAGCGUUAAUCGGAAUUACUGGGCGUAAAGCGUGCGCAGGCGGUUCGUUAAGACAGAUGUGAAAUCCCCGGGCUCAACCUUGGAACUGCAUUUGUGACUGGCAAGCUAGAGUAUGGCAGAGGGGGGUGGAAUUCCGCGUGUAGCAGUGAAAUGCGUAGAUAUGCGGAGGAACACCGAUGGCGAAGGCAGCCCCCUGGGCCAAUACUGACGCUCAUGCACGAAAGCGUGGGGAGCAAACAGGAUUAGAUACCCGCGUAGUCCCUGUCUCUUAUAC